rnacentral:tRNA from 1 species
GCGGAUAUGGUGCAAUGGCUAGCAUGUGAGGCUUCCAACCUCUUGAUACGGGUACUCCUUCUCCUUCGGAGACGCUUCGCGAACGGAGAACGCUUCGCGAACAAAUCCCGUUAUUCGCU